rnacentral:rRNA from 1 species
UUCCGGUUGAUCCUGCCGGAGGCUACCGCUAUGGGAGUUCGAUUAAGCCAUGCGAGUCGAGAGUCCUCGGGACUCGGCGUACCGCCCAGUAACACGUGGGUAACCUGCCCUAUGCUGGGGAAUAACCUCGGGAAACUGAGAAUAAUGCCCCAUAGCCCACUACGCCUGGAACGGUGAGUGGGUCAAAGCCCCGGCGGCAUAGGAUAGGCCUGCGCCGUAUCAGGUUGUAGGGGGUGUAAAGUACCCUCUAGCCAUCAACGCGUACGGGUGUUGGGAGACAUUGCCCGGAGAUGGAUUCUGAGACACGAAUCCAGACCCUACGGGGUGCAGCAGGCGCGAAAACUUGGCAAUGCGAGAAAUCGUGACCAGGGAACUCCAAGUGCGUAGGGUAAGACCUACGCUUUUCUUGACUCUUCAAAGGUCUUGGAAUAAGGGGUGGGUAAGGACGGUGCCAGCCGCCGCGGUAAUACCGGCGCCUCAAGUGGUAGUCGCUUUUAUUGGGCCUAAAACGUCCGUAGCCGGUCUGGUGCAUUCGUGGGUAAAUCAACCCGCUCAACGGGUUGAAUUCUGCGAGCACGGCCAGACUUGGGACCGGGAGAGGUGUGGGGUACUCUCAGGGUAGGGGUAAAAUCCUGUCAUCCUGAGAGGACCACCUGUUGCGAAGGCGCCACACUAGAACGGAUCCGACGGUCAGGGACGAAACCUAGGGGCACGAACCGGAUUAGAUACCCGGGUAGUCCUAGGUGUAAACGCUGUGGACUUGAUGUUGGGGGCGCUCCGAGCGCUCUCAGUGUCGAAGCGAAGGUGAUAAGUCCACUGCCUGGGGAGUACGGUCGCAAGGCUGAAACUUAAAGGAAUUGGCGGGGGAGCACUGCAACCUGAGGAUUGUGCGGUUUAAUUGGAGUCAACGCCGGGG